rnacentral:rRNA from 1 species
AACGAACGCUGGCGGCAUGCCUAACACAUGCAAGUCGAACGAGACCUUCGGGUCUAGUGGCGCACGGGUGCGUAACGCGUGGGAACCUGCCCUUAGGUUCGGAAUAACUCCCCGAAAGGGGUGCUAAUACCGGAUAAUGUCUUCGGACCAAAGAUUUAUCGCCUUUGGAUGGGCCCGCGUUGGAUUAGCUAGUUGGUAGGGUAAAAGCCUACCAAGGCGACGAUCCAUAGCUGGUCUGAGAGGAUGAUCAGCCACACUGGGACUGAGACACGGCCCAGACUCCUACGGGAGGCAGCAGUGGGGAAUAUUGGACAAUGGGCGAAAGCCUAAUCCAGCAAUGCCGCGUGAGUGAGGAAGGCCUUAGGGUUGUAAAGCUCUUUUACCCGGGAUGAUAAUGACAGUACCGGGAGAAUAAGCUCCGGCUAACUCCGUG